GAUGAACGCUGGCGGCGUGCUUAACACAUGCAAGUCGAACGGGACCCCUUGAACAGAGGCUUCGGCCGAAGGGAGAGGACGUCUAGUGGCGGACGGGUGAGUAACGCGUGAGCAACCUGCCUAUCGGAGGGGGACAACAGCUGGAAACGGCUGCUAAUAUCGCAUAACAUAUCUAAUUCGCAUGUUUUGGAUAUCAAAGAUUUAUCGCCGAUAGAUGGGCUCGCGUCUGAUUAGCUAGUUGGUGGGGUAAAGGCUCACCAAGGCGACGAUCAGUAGCCGGACUGAGAGGUUGACCGGCCACAUUGGGACUGAGAUACGGCCCAGACUCCUACGGGAGGCAGCAGUGGGGAAUAUUGGGCAAUGGGCGCAAGCCUGACCCAGCAACGCCGCGUGAAGGAAGAAGGCCCUCGGGUUGUAAACUUCUUUGACAGGGGAAGAAACAAAUGACGGUACCCUGAAAACAAGCCACGGCUAACUACGUGCCAGCAGCCGCGGUAAUACGUAGGUGGCAAGCGUUAUCCGGAUUUACUGGGUGUAAAGGGCGUGCAGGCGGGCUUACAAGUCAGGUGUGAAAACUAUGGGCUCAACCCAUAGCCUGCACUUGAAACUGUAGGUCUUGAGUGAUGGAGAGGCAGGUAGAAUUCCUAGUGUAGCGGUGGAAUGCGUAGAUAUUAGGAGGAAUACCAGUGGCGAAGGCGACCUGCUGGACAUUAACUGUCGCUGAGGCGCGAAAGCGUGG
rnacentral:rRNA from 1 species